rnacentral:misc_RNA from 1 species
GCAAACUUGGUCAUUUAGAGGAAGUAAAAGUCGUAACAAGGUUUCCGUAGGUGAACCUGCGGAAGGAUCAUUAGAAGAAGAAAGAUCGAUCCCUCGACGAACGUGGGGGGACGAUCGAAUCCAUAUCCAUCCCGUGUGCACUCAUCGACCGUUUGCUUUGGCAGGAAAAAAGGAGCCUUCGAUUCCGGAGGCGCCGGGGAGGACGUACGCGCGUGUGGAAUGUUACAUGUAACAUAUACAUACACGCGUAAGCCUCGGCCUGCCAGAGUUUUUCUUUUCCGAACUCGCGCCUUUUUAACUUUGAUCGGACUGAACCUUCGUCUCGAUUCUCUUUGGAAUCGGUCGAAACGAAUAUAACUUUCAACAACGGAUCUCUUGGCUCUUGCAUCGAUGAAGAACGCAGC